rnacentral:piRNA from 1 species
UCCUCGAUGUCCGGUUCCGGUGUGCCCCU